rnacentral:rRNA from 1 species
GACGUAGGGAGCGAGCGUUGUCCGGAUUCAUUGGGCGUAAAGCGCGCGUAGGCGGUUUGGUAAGUCGGAUGUGAAAUCCCGAGGCUCAACCUCGGGACUGCAUCCGAUACUGCCCGACUAGAGGUAGGUAGGGGAGAUCGGAAUUCCUGGUGUAGCGGUGAAAUGCGCAGAUAUCAGGAGGAACACCGGUGGCGAAGGCGGAUCUCUGGGCCUGACCUGACGCUGAGGUGCGAAAGCUAGGGGAGCGAACAGGAUUAGAAACCCCGGUAGUCC